GACGAACGCUGGCGGCGUGCCUAAUACAUGCAAGUAGAACGCUGAAGGAGGAGCUUGCUUCUCCGGAUGAGUUGCGAACGGGUGAGUAACGCGUAGGUAACCUGCCUGGUAGCGGGGGAUAACUAUUGGAAACGAUAGCUAAUACCGCAUAAUAGUAGAUGUUGCAUGACAUUUAUUUAAAAGGUGCAAUUGCAUCACUACCAGAUGGACCUGCGUUGUAUUAGCUAGUUGGUGGGGUAACGGCUCACCAAGGCGACGAUACAUAGCCGACCUGAGAGGGUGAUCGGCCACACUGGGACUGAGACACGGCCCAGACUCCUACGGGAGGCAGCAGUAGGGAAUCUUCGGCAAUGGACGGAAGUCUGACCGAGCAACGCCGCGUGAGUGAAGAAGGUUUUCGGAUCGUAAAGCUCUGUUGUAAGAGAAGAACGAGUGUGGGAGUGGAAAGUUCACACUGUGACGGUAUCUUACCAGAAAGGGACGGCUAACUACGUGCCAGCAGCCGCGGUAAUACGUAGGUCCCGAGCGUUGUCCGGAUUUAUUGGGCGUAAAGCGAGCGCAGGCGGUUAGAUAAGUCUGAAGUUAAAGGCUGUGGCUUAACCAUAGUACGCUUUGGAAACUGUUUAACUUGAGUGCAAGAGGGGAGAGUGGAAUUCCAUGUGUAGCGGUGAAAUGCGUAGAUAUAUGGAGGAACACCGGUGGCGAAAGCGGCUCUCUGGCUUGUAACUGACGCUGAGGCUCGAAAGCGUGGGGAGCAAACAGG
rnacentral:rRNA from 1 species